rnacentral:lncRNA from 1 species
UUCAUUCCUCAUUUGAAUGUUAAAAACCUAACCUAUGUUUGGAAAAACAUAAUUGAUCAUACAGUCAUUAGAAUUUAGAUGUGCUAACAUCAGUCAAAGAAUGACGAGUAUCAUUGAAAGGAAGAAUUUGAGUGCCUGGGAGCAGCCUGGUCACUAGCCAGCUAAGAGAAGAGGGAAUGUGGCACAGGGCUCGUGGAGGGAGGUAGAAAAACCCAACAUUUUAUAGAGGCAGAAAGUGUCAUGUUAAA